rnacentral:rRNA from 1 species
GACGAACGCUGGCGGCGUGCUUAACACAUGCAAGUCGAACGAAGUGGCGAACGGGUGAGUAACGCGUAAUAAACCUGCCCUUCAAAGGGGGACAACAGUUGGAAACGACUGCUAAUCCCGCAUACUGAAGGAGGGGAUUGCGUCUGAUUCGCUAGUUGGGGGGGUAACGGCCAACCAAGGCGAUGAUCAGUAGACGGUCUGAGAGGAUGAACGGCCAAAUUGGGAAUGAGACAAGGCCCAGAAUCCUACGGGAGGCAGCAGUGGGGAAUCUUCCGAAAUGGACGAAAGUCUGACGGAGCAACGCCGCGUGAGUGAUGACGGCCUUCGGGUUGGAAAGCUCUGUUAAUCGGGACGCGGUACCGGAAUAGAAAGCCACGGCUAACUACGUGCCAGCAGCCGCGGUAAUAC